UUAACGUCCGGUGUCAAGAGGGAAACAACCCAGACCGCCAGCUAAGGUCCCCAAAUAUUGCUAAGUGGGAAACGAAGUGGGAAGGCUAAAACAGUCAGGAGGUUGGCUUAGAAGCAGCCAUCCUUUAAAGAAAGCGUAAUAGCUCACUGAUCGAGUCGUCCUGCGCGGAAGAUGUAACGGGGCUAAGCAAUAUACCGAAGCUGCGGAUGCACAUUUAUGUGCAUGGUAGGAGAGCGUUCCGUAAGCCUGCGAAGGUGCAUUGAAAAGUGCGCUGGAGGUAUCGGAAGUGCGAAUGCUGACAUGAGUAGCGAUAAAGGGGGUGAAAGGCCCCCUCGCCGUAAGCCCAAGGUUUCCUACGCAACGUUCAUCGGCGUAGGGUGAGUCGGCCCCUAAGGCGAGGCAGAAAUGCGUAGCUGAUGGGAAGCAGGUUAAUAUUCCUGCACCAUUGUUAAAUGCGAUGGGGGGACGGAUCGCGGAAGGUUGUCCGGGUGUUGGAAGUCCCGGUCGCUGCGUUGGAGAAGGCACUCAGGCAAAUCCGGGUGCGUAAUUCAAGGGCGUGGCGCCAUUCACUUCGGUGAAGAAGCAAUCGGAAGUGGUUCCAAGAAAAGCCUCUAAGCUUCAGUUUAACAGGACCGUACCGCAAACCGACACAGGUGGGCGAGAUGAGUAUUCUAAGGCGCUUGAGAGAACUCGGGAGAAGGAACUCGGCAAAUUGGUACCGUAACUUCGGGAUAAGGUACGCCCCUGUAGCCUGACUGGCCUGCGCCAGAAGGGUGAAGGGGUUGCAAUAAACUGGUGGCUGCGACUGUUUAAUAAAAACACAGCACUCUGCAAACACGAAAGUGGACGUAUAGGGUGUGACGCCUGCCCGGUGCCGGAAGAUUAAAUGAUGGGGUGCAAGCUCUUGAUUGAAGUCCCGGUAAACGGCGGCCGUAACAAUAACGGUCCUAAGGUAGCGAAAUUCCUUGUCGGGUAAGUUCCGACCUGCACGAAUGGCGUAACGAUGGCCACACUGUCUCCUCCCGAGACUCAGCGAAGUUGAAGUGUUUGUGAUGAUGCAAUCUCCCCGCGGCUAGACGGAAAGACCCCAUGAACCUUUACUGUAGCUUUGCAUUGGACUUUGAACCGGUCUGUGUAGGAUAGGUGGGAGGCUUUGAAGCGUGGACGCCAGUCUGCGUGGAGCCAACCUUGAAAUACCACCCUGGUUUGUUUGAGGUUCUAACCUUGGUCCGUAAUCCGGAUCGGGGACAGUGCAUGGUAGGCAGUUUGACUGGGGCGGUCUCCUCCCAAAGUGUAACGGAGGAGUACGAAGGUACGCUAGGUACGGUCGGAAAUCGUGCUGAUGGUGCAAUGGCAUAAGCGUGCUUAACUGCGAGACCGACAAGUCGAGCAGGUGCGAAAGCAGGUCAUAGUGAUCCGGUGGUUCUGUAUGGAAGGGCCAUCGCUCAACGGAUAAAAGCU
rnacentral:rRNA from 1 species